rnacentral:rRNA from 14 species
AGUAGCUCGAGCGAAAGAUGAAAAGAACCCCGAAAGGGGAGGGAAAGACCCUGAAACCGUGUGCCUACAAGCUGUCGGAGCCCGCAAGGGUGACGGCGUGCCUAUUGAAUAAUGAUCCGGCGAGUUAUUGUCAUUGGCUGGCUAAGGUCCUCUGGACUGGAGCCUAAGGGAAACCGAGUCUGAAUAGGGCGUAAAUGGUCAAUGGGAAUAGACGCGAAUCUUAGCGAACUACGCAUGGGCAGGUUGAAGCGUGGGUAAGACUGCGUGGAGGACCGAACUCACUGAUGUUGAAAAAUCAGGGGAUGACCUGUGUGGAGGAUUAAAAGUAUCAUCAAGCUGAGGGAUAGCUCGUUCUCUCCGAAAUAACUUUAGGGUUAGCCUCGUGAAACUAUGCUGCAGGGGUAGAGAGACUGAACUGGGUCGAGGGCUCACAAGGCUACUCGCCCUAACCAAACUCCGAAUAC